UUCCCCCAAAUUUUUGCCCUCUCACUCUUUCACUUAGGGAUUUCAUGAGCUCUCUCCUUCUCAUUCUCACUCUCUCUCACGAUACUCUCUCUUUCUCCCUUCACUCCUCUUCUCUCUUUCUCCCCUAACUCAUCUUCGAUCUAUCCAACAGACCCAUGUGCCACCGCCACCCACUGCAUAGCCACCUUCUGCCACCGAUGCUAGCCACCACCGCCACCGUCGACCUCCAAUCUUGCCGUUAGGUGUGGCUUUUGCUCUCCCUCUCACCUUCGGCUCUCCCUCACUCCAUCGCCAUGGCUCCUUCGAUUUGUACUUCGCAUGGCCUUCAGAUCCUUCGACUUACAUCACCGUCGUCGACCUCCAUCCACGCCGUUCAUCUGAUGCAUCUGAUAUGGUUUUGGGAUUGUAUACUUGUAUUGUUAACUUGGUGGUUUAAUAAUCCGAUAUAGCAGGUGCUGGUAAUUUGUCACUUUGAUGACCAUCCAAGCUACCAGACAAAUUUUCUUGAAGUUGCAGCUAGGAAGACCAAAAGCAAGGAAUUGAUACUGCUUUGAUUGCAAAAAAAAAAAAAAGGCAAUACAAGUUUGUGUGAUCAAAGCAAGUGAAUUUGUUUGUGUUAGACUUAAGGCCGAAGGUUUCAUUGGCACUUUUCUUCAAUUACAACACCUCAAUGGGACCGCCAUAUCGGGUUUUGGUAGAUACCAACUUCAUCAAUUUCUCUAUCUAGAAUAAACUGGACUUGGGGAAGGGAAUGAUGGACUGCCUCUAUGCAAAAUGUGAGUUUAGAAUCACUGGUUUCUUCAAUUUAAUGUGAAUAUUAAUUUGCUGCAAGAAUUGUUGUGCCGUGUCGAUGAGGUAUCCUAAGUUCAACAUAGUUAAUGUGGUUUUAUAACAAGCAUUGAGUGCCAUGUAUCAUUGGCAAACACUUAAAUAUUUGUUGGUUGCUUAAUGAUAUUUAUCAAAAUAUUACUCUUGGUUGUGUGGAUGUCCAUGAGAAUGCUUCAGGAAUAAAAUCAGGAUCUUUUUUUAAA